GAGGAAGCACAGAGGCCCCCCACCGACAGUGAGUCCCACCUCUUGGGCCAGCCACCAAGUUCCAGAUGCUACCAUGAUGCCAGCCAGACUUCCUUGGACAAUCACCUCCACCAAUGUAUCCUGGAGCCCCAGAACCCACCUCACUAGGGAAUGAAAGAGGCAGGCUGGAGGUGAAGACCAGGACCUUGAAUGAACCAUGAGGUCCUUAGUACAAUCCCUGGCAGCACAUGUGCCAGUGCA